ACAUAUCACGUUGAAACACCGGUUCUCGUACGAUCACUGAAGUUAAGCAACACCGAGCCUGCUCUGUAUUUAGAUGAGUAACUGCUUGGGAAUACCAGGUGGUGUAAG